AUACGUAGGGGGCGAGCGUUGUCCGGAAUGAUUGGGCGUAAAGGGCGCGUAGGCGGCGCGGUAAGUCUGGAGUGAAAGUCCUGCUUUCAAGGUGGGAAUUGCUUUGGAGACUGGUUGGCUUGAGUGCGGAAGAGGUAAGUGGAAUUCCCAGUGUAGCGGUGAAAUGCGUAGAGAUUGGGAGGAACACCAGUGGCGAAGGCGACUUACUGGGCCGUAACUGACGCUGAGGCGCGAAAGCGUGGGGAGCGAACAGGAUUAGAUACCCUGGUAGUCCACGCGGUAAACGAUGAAUGCUAGGUGUAGGGGGUAUCGACCCCUCCUGUGCCGGAGUGAACACAAUAAGCAUUCCGCCUGGGGAGUACGGCCGCAAGGUUGGAACUCAAAUGAAUUGGCGGGG
rnacentral:rRNA from 1 species